rnacentral:rRNA from 1 species
UACAGAGGGUGCGAACGUUGCUCGGAAUUACUGGGCGUAAAGCGCACGUAGGCGGAUUGUUAAGUCGGGGGUGAAAUCCUGGAGCUCAACUCCAGAACUGCCUUCGAUACUGGCGAUCUCGAGUUCGGGAGAGGUGAGUGGAACUGCGAGUGUAGAGGUGAAAUUCGUAGAUAUUCGCAAGAACACCAGUGGCGAAGGCGGCUCACUGGCCCGAUACUGACGCUGAGGUGCGAAAGCGUGGGGAGCAAACAGG